UUCGCCGCCGGCGACGUCACGAGAAUUCCACUGAACCUUAUCAUUUAGAGGAAGGAGAAGUCGUAACAAGGUUUCCGUAGGUGAACCUGCGGAAGGAUCAUUGUCGAACCCUGCAAGGCAGAACGACCUGUGAACACGUAAAUACAACUGGGUGAUGGGGAGAUGGGCCUUGGUCCUUUUCCCCAUCCCCUCCCGGCGUGCAUGUGUGGUGCCUCUUCUGAGGUGCCAUGGAUGUCAGGCUGGAUUAUAACAAAACCCCGGCACGGCAUGUGCCAAGGAUAACAAUAAAUGAGAAGGACUCGUGCCGUGUAGCCCCGUUCGCGGUGUGCAUGCGGUUCGUGGACUCUUUGUAAUUACAAACGACUCUCGGCAACGGAUAUCUCGGCUCACGCAUCGAUGAAGAACGUAGCAAAAUGCGAUACUUGGUGUGAAUUGCAGAAUCCCGUGAACCAUCGAGUUUUUGAACGCAAGUUGCGCCCGAAGCCAUUCGGCCGAGGGCACGCCUGCCUGGGCGUCACGCAUCGCGUCGCCCCCCACCAUAUUAACUCAUGGUGAUGGGGGCGGAGAUUGGUCUCCCGUGCCUGUCGCGGUUGGCCUAAAAAGGAGUCCCCUUCAGUGGACACACGAUUAGUGGUGGUUGAACAGCCUUCGCUUUAUCGCGUGCGUGAGCUCUAGGGAACCAUUAUUAAAGACCCCAUGGUCGUUUUAGGACGGGGCUUCGACGCACCCCAGUAAGGCGGGAAUUCCCCUUAGUUUAAGCUU
rnacentral:rRNA from 1 species